rnacentral:rRNA from 1 species
UGGGGAAUAUUGCACAAUGGGCGCAAGCCUGAUGCAGCCAUGCCGCGUGUGUGAAGAAGGCCUUCGGGUUGUAAAGCACUUUCAGCGGGGAGGAAGGCGUUAAGGUUAAUAACCUUGGCGAUUGACGUUACCCGCAGAAGAAGCACCGGCUAACUCCGUGCCAGCAGCCGCGGUAAUACGGAGGGUGCAAGCGUUAAUCGGAAUUACUGGGCGUAAAGCGCACGCAGGCGGUCUGUCAAGUCGGAUGUGAAAUCCCCGGGCUCAACCUGGGAACUGCAUUCGAAACUGGCAGGCUAGUGUCUUGUAGAGGGGGGUAGAAUUCCAGGUGUAGCGGUGAAAUGCGUAGAGAUCUGGAGGAAUACCGGUAGCGAAGGCGGCCCCCUGGACAAAGACUGACGCUCAGGUGCGAAAGCGUGGGGAGCAAACAGG